CUCAAUUUCUUUCUCUUUCCUCCAUUGAUCACGAUUAGAGAAACCUUCCAAGCUUUCCUAAAAUCACUUCUAUGCAAUAAUCCUUCACUAAAUCAAGCCCUAAACACUUUCUAUACUUGAUUCAAAGAGAUUAGUAGAGUUUUGAGCUUGAAGAUUAGAGAGAAGAAAUUCUACUUUUCUUAAAGUUCUUGAGCCCGAGCGAGACGAAGAAGUAAGUCGCCUGUUUUCUUUCCAAGCUUGAGCAAAGGACUUCAGGCUAAGCGAUGGAGCGAGAUUGGACUGGUGCUGGCGGGGAUUGUUUUGUUGAUGAAUUUUCUUUGCUGCUUUCCUUUUUUUGAUAGAGUCCUAACGAUGAUACACUUUGCUUUCCUUUUGAAUGUUGAUAAAACCUUAAUGAUGAGAUACAUUGUUUUCUUUUUAAUCAAGCAAUUUACUCGCGAUUAUAUGUCCUUAUACAUAUGAUCGAUUCACCUUUUGCUGCGAGACUCUGAAUUUUAUGAUACCUUAUGAAUAUUGAGCUA